rnacentral:snRNA from 1 species
AUUGAUACGGAUUGGCCGUGGU